GGUUUACGACCUCGAUGUUGGAUCAGGAUUAGAUCCACCUAGAGGAGCCUGUUCUAGAACCGAUAACCCCCGUUAACCUCACCCNNCUCUACGUUUUUNUCCGCCUAUAUACCACCGUCGUCAGUUUACCCUGUGAAGGAUAAAUAGUAAGCAAGACUGGCACCAGCCUAAANNACGUUAGGUCGAGNGUGUAGUCCANUGGAGAGGGAAGCAAUGGGCUACAUUCGCUGACUNCAGCGNAAAACGAAGAAAAAUGAAAGUNUUUGUCUAAAGGAGGAUUUAG
rnacentral:rRNA from 1 species